GACGAACGCUGGCGGCGUGCCUAAUACAUGCAAGUUGAGCGCUGAAGGUUGGUACUUGUACCAACUGGAUGAGCAGCGAACGGGUGAGUAACGCGUGGGGAAUCUGCCUUUGAGCGGGGGACAACAUUUGGAAACGAAUGCUAAUACCGCAUAAAAACUUUAAACACAAGUUUUAAGUUUGAAAGAAGCACUUGCUUCACUCAAAGAUGAUCCCGCGUUGGAUUAGGCAGUUGGUGAGGUAAAGGCUCAACCAGGCGAUGAUACAUAACCCACCUUAGAGGGUGGACGGCCCAAUUGGGAACGGGACAACGGCCAAAACUCUUCGGGAGGGAGCAGUAAGGAAACUUCGGCAAUGGGGGGAAGUCUUGCCGGGCAAAGCCGGGGGAGUGAAGAAGGGUUUCGGAUCGUAAAACUCUGUUGGUAGGGAAGAACGUUGGUGGGAGUGGAAAGCUCAUCAAGUGACGGUAACUACCCAGAAAGGGACGGCUAACUACGUG
rnacentral:rRNA from 1 species